rnacentral:piRNA from 1 species
UCCCGAAANUGCCAAGAUUUUCAGCUUGC